UUGGUAAGGGUGAAAUGGUGUGGUAAGAGCGCACCGUAUUCCUAGCAAUAGGAAUAGCUUUGUAAACCCCACCUGGAGCAAGACCAAAUAGGAAUCCAAUGGCGUGGCCCGCGCUGGAUUCGGGUAGGUUGCUUGAGGUCUGUGGUGACGCAGACCCUAGAUGAAUGACUGUCCAAGACAGAACCCGGCUUAUCGGCGAGCUCGCUCU
rnacentral:RNase_P_RNA from 1 species